rnacentral:rRNA from 1 species
UAUGGUAAUUGUGUGCCAGCCUCCGCUUUACUACGGAAGGUCCGGGCGUUAUCCGGAUUUAUUGGGUUUAAAGGGAGCGUAGGCCGGAGAUUAAGCGUGUUGUGAAAUGUAGACGCUCAACGUCUGCACUGCAGCGCGAACUGGUUUCCUUGAGUACGCACAAAGUGGGCGGAAUUCGUGGUGUAGCGGUGAAAUGCUUAGAUAUCACGAAGAACUCCGAUUGCGAAGGCAGCUCACUGGAGCGCAACUGACGCUGAAGCUCGAAAGUGCGGGUAUCGAACAGG